AUAUAUAUAUAUAUAUAUAUAUAUAUAUAUGACCUUAAAAUUCUUAUUGCAAGACAUUUAUAAGAACUGAUGUGGUGUAGCCAUUAGUGUGUUAGACUAUGAUCAGAAGGACCGAUCCAAAUUGCCAUUAAUCCAUGGUCAAGAGUGGUUGUGAUGCUAAAGGAAGGAGAGGACCAUGAGCUUUUUUGGGGGGGGGGGUUAAAAUGUAAUAAGCAUCCUGUCCAAGCCAUUUUCAGCUGCUAAGAGAAUGAGCAUUUGUGGGAAUGCAGUUUAACAAUGGGGACAAGAUAAGCAUAGUUUAAUCCCAAACUGCCAAAUGGAGAGUGGUCAGAAGCAUAGUGUGUAAACCUCUCUUUUAUCCUUAUCUUAAUAAUUGGUGUGUGUUUUGAGAUAGCGGUAAGAGCCAAAGAAAGGUGUUAGUCUGCGUACACUACUGCUUGACUACUCGUAGCACUGAAGUAGGCUAUAGAUAACAAAUUAGUUAAUUUUUCAAUGUGACACAUAAUUUAUUUUUAAAAAUAGUUGUUUUUUUAAAAAUCGCACACAGCAUUCGUGUUCUGUUUGUGUUCUUGGCUGACUGUACAAAUACGAAUUAAAUGCAAACUUAAGAUGCACCCAGUGUUUGCCUUAGUGUUGUUUGAGGACUUUUGAAAACAUUUGUUUUUCCAAGUGGUAGGAAGCUCGGAGCAGAGUUAACUAGGUGGAUGAGGAACCCUGUUGUUGAAGUUGGCUAAAAAUGCUCAUUAGGUAGUCGAAGCAUUUUAUUUGUAUGUAUUUGUAUUUCAGAAAAGGAAAUGUGCUAAUCUUUACUUUUGCUAUAUUUUUAUUUGAAUAUAAUUCAAUGAAAAGUGAAAGUCCUUGUUGCCUGCUAGCUGGCCGAUAGACUUAAUGAGAACAUGUAGUGCUCUUAAUGCACUAUAUUGAUAUGCUUUUAGUAUCCAAUUAAAUUGUCAGUGCUUUUCCGUUGACUUUCUUACACAAAUAAAAUCUCAUAGUGACUUGCUAGCUUGGAUGUUUUCUCUUAGCUUCACAGGAGAACCGUGAGAAUUAAAACACAAAUGUUGACCAACUUUAAGAAGCAGGCAGAUACAAUUACCGUGGAACAUUAGAGGAACUGUGGGUUAGGUUUAAAACUUGCUUACUGGAAUUUUCUCCCCUAGACCUGCAGCUGUUCUGAGGCCCUUCUGAAUGAAGAUGUGUUAAUCUGUGUAACAUUUUGACAUGCAAAUGCUUCGCAGUCCUUGGUUUCAAAAGUUGGCACUACUACAGGUGCCACAUAAUACCCAUUCCCCAUUUGUAUGAACUUGGUUGUUUAGUGCAAUUUGGAACUCCCUGCCUAUUGAGAUCAAGCAGGUACCUUCACUGUACACUUUUCGGGGCCUGAUAAAAACACAAUUGGUUACCUUGAUGCUUAGAGAGUUGAGAGGUAGAUCUGUUUUAGUAUUUUAAUUUUAUAUAUUUUAAUGUAUGAUUGUAAAUUUUUCUGGAUUUUACUGUUUUAUGUUUUAGUAAAACACUUUGAGGGUUUUUUUACAAUCAAGCGGGGUAUAAAUUUUAUGAAAUAAAUAAUAACAUCUGUAUGCAAAGUUACUAA